rnacentral:misc_RNA from 1 species
GUGACCUACAGAUACUUCAAGAAAGGCACGGAUGGCAGCACCAUCACCUGGCAGGGCGCGAACAGGAUGCUGACGGUGCCUGGGAGCUGCGCCGGUGUGGUUACGCAGAGCGACGAUGUCGAUAGCACCGCCAGCUCCACCUGCACCGUCAAUUUCAUCGCCAAGGACACCACCGUCUUCGGCGAGAACAUCUUCAUCGCCGGUGACGCCGCGGCGCUCGGCAGCUGGGCCACGGACAAGGCGCUCGCCCUCAACGCGGACCAGUAUACCGCGGACAACCCGAUAUGGGUGGGAAGCGUGAGUCUGCCGGCCGGGAGCACG